CCUUGGUGACUUCAGACUGUGCAUAAGGAAGGCAUUUUUUAUUAUAAGGGUGGUGAGGCACUGGAACAGGUUGCCCGAGGAUGCUGUGGAUAACCCAUUCCUAAAAAUGUUCAAAAUCAGGUUUGAUGAGGCUUCAAGCAAUCUGAUCUUCUGAGAGAUGUGCGUCCCCCUGGCAGGAGGGUUUGACUAGGUGAUAUUUAAAGGUCUUUUUCAACCUAAACCAUUCUGUGGUUUUAUGGUAGAUAUGGCUCAUAAUUCUAGUUCACAUCUGAUGGCAGUUCAGGGACUGUGCUGCUGGGGUUCCUCCUGUCCAGUUUGCAAAUAACAGUACUCAUUUUAGCCUGUGUAUUCAUUGACAGAGGCUUGCCUUCAGUUGCAAGUUUGCUGAAAAGAUGCUGGAGUGAGAGGGGUGGUACUGGCUCAUUGUGGAGUAUCAGUCCUAAGUACAUUCUGAUGACUAACUGGUGCUGCUAGGAAAGGAUCCAAGAAAGAAGAGAGUUCUUUACUUAACAUGGAGCAAAAAGAAAUUAUUAAAAAAGGCUGGUAUGGUUUAAUGCUUCUAAUUUAAAGACCUAAUUUAGGUCAUGUUGAGUUUUCAUUGCACAUGAGAAAUGCCAUUUCUUUGACAGGCAAAAUUUCCCUACUGUUUUACAAUACUGUGCUGGUUUUGUUACUUUGCAGCUAUGAUGUAAAUAAGCUUUCUUGCUAAGUAGUAUAUGAAUAGCUUUUGAAAGCAAAACUGGAGCUGUAGCUGGCUGCUUCCUGAUUAAGAUUCCCUUCCCCCCUUUUCUAGUGUAAAAUCUGUGCAACUCUUUGCUUUCUAUUUAUGUAUUCAUUUGUGUUUAUAUAAAGGAUGAAGCUUAAUGAAGUCUAUUCAGUCACAGCAGGAUAAACCAUUGCGAGAUCAGAUGAGGCCCUGUGCUGUGGGUGAGAGCAAGACCUUUGAGUUGUGAGUGUUCUCAUUCUUUUCAUUGUUCCUCAAUCCAUCUUUAUGUAGUACGUAGCUUCUGUUGUUAGCACCAUUUGAACAUAAAAGGUAAUUUCAAAGAAUACUUCUUUUUACAUUUAUGGAAAAAUUAGAAGUUAUUGUGAUUUUUCUGGCAAUAGAAAAAUAUUUUAUGCAAUUCGGCAUGCUCAGUUUGGGGGAUGGGAUUACAAAGAUUCACUUCAACUCCCCACAAAAGCAGCUCCUGUGACUAUUUCAAAGGCUAGUCUGAAAUUUACCUGAAUUCAUGAAAAAUACCUGUUUCCAGAUGGCAAAAUAUUUUUUUUUUUAAUUGGUGCCAAACAAAAACAUCCUCCUUGGUAUGAUGUUAUAACUCUAUUUGUAGUUUGCUUUCUAGCACUUAUUCUAUGAGUAUGGGGACAAAGAAAAAAGAUAAAAUAAGAAAGAAACAAAUCAGCGAUGUUUGUUUUUCUUUGAAAGCACAACAGGACUGCUUGCUAAAUAUAGAUUGCCCUUUAAAAAUUGGAGGAAAAAAAGUAAAGUAACUAACUACUUUUAUUUUAUUUUGUAACCCUCUUUUGGACAUCUGCGGUGCACUGCAGCAUUGAUACUGGAUCAUAAAAUGGCAUCCCACUUAGUCAUUGUGAAGCAUGUUCAACAAUCAAUCAAAAAUCAGCUGAAAGUAAAAUCUCCUGAAGGCAGCCUAGAUCUGAUUGGAUUUGUCUUUAUGUGUGUGUACAUCGUUGUGAGGUAUGGAAGUGUUAAAUAUAAAUGGCAUGCAUACAAACUACACUAGGAUUUAAAACAUAUAUUGUAUAUUCUGCAAAGUGUUUGCUUCUGCAUAUCUCUUAUUCUAAAGAAAUAACCAGUUUGAUAAAAAUAGUUUCCAGAGAGCUAAAAUUGUCAUUGCUUUUUAAUUUAAACAAAAGUUAUUGCAAAUAUAUAUCAUGUCAAUUAAAGCAGUUUCAUUGCUUACAGCAUAUAGGAAAUAAAAUUCCAUAAUUACAUUGCCACGUGGAUAGUAGCACAACUUCCAAGGUUCAAAGGUCACUGACAAUUAGCAUAAAAUUUAA